CUGCUCUUUGGAAAGCAACCUAGAAGGCUUGGCGGGUGUUUUAGAAGCCGAUCUUCCUAACUACAAGAGCAAGAUCUUAAGGCUUCUUUGUACAGUUGCACGUCUGUUACCUGAGAAGCUGACAAUUUAUACAACAUUAGUUGGACUGCUGAAUGCCAGGAAUUACAACUUUGGUGGAGAAUUUGUAGAAGCCAUGAUUCGUCAACUUAAAGAAUCACUGAAAGCGAACAAUUAUAAUGAAGCUGUAUAUUUGGUUCGGUUUUUAUCUGAUCUUGUGAAUUGUCACGUGAUUGCUGCCCCAUCGAUGGUUGCUAUGUUUGAAAAUUUUGUGAGUGUAACUCAGGAGGAAGAUGUGCCUCAGGUA